ACAAUGGAUUCAAGAUGGUGAAAAGGUUCGGCAGGGGCGUCAUGAGAGUACAUAUAUCGCAAUUUCAGCUCAAUCGAGGCCCGGUGAUUCAUGUGUUCUCAGGUCGCCCCUGUGGGAUUUUCUUUCACCGGUCAAGAUAGAGUUUUUUAAAAGUUUAUUCUUAUGAAUUGUGCGUGUGAAUGCAAGGACGAUGAGUCUUCACUGAUUUUAUAUUCUGUAGUUAAUCUCAGUGAUUAAAUUUGUAAAUUGAGUGGUUUACUAUCUGGCAAAACAUUUGGUAUUACUAGUACUACUUUUCGUAUU